CACCUCGUGCCCACAGCACGUUGCAGCCCAGGUGUAGCUCUGCAGCUUGCACGGCACAGAGCCCAGGUUAGGACAACAACCAGGCGGCCGGGCAUGCAUUCGAACCACCUGUUUAGCUCCAGGUUUUUUGGGGGUGGGUAGGUUUGCUUCUACAACUUGCAAGUUCACAUUUUUUUCAAAAAAAACAUGAAUGGGCAGAAGAGCGGGAAAUAAUUCAGGUCACGUGCCGGACCUGGGGCCGGAGCAUCGCAGAAGCGUGCUCUUCCUUGUGUUGUACUAGUGUACGUUGCAUCAAAUUUUAUGCAAAUGAAGAUCCAAAUGAAAAAAUUCGUAAUUUUCAAAUUAUCCAUUCAUAUUAAA